UACGUAGGUGGCAAGCGUUGUCCGGAUUUACUGGGCGUAAAGAGCGCGCAGGCGGUCGUUCAAGUCGCGUGUGAAAGCCCCCGGCUCAACUGGGGAGGGUCACGCGAUACUGAUCGACUCGAAGGCAGGAGAGGGAAGUGGAAUUCCCGGUGUAGUGGUGAAAUGCGCAGAUAUCAGGAAGAACACCUAUGGCGAAGGCAGCACUCUGGGACGGUACUGACGCUGAGACGCGAAAGCGUGGGGAGCGAACAGG
rnacentral:rRNA from 1 species